GAUGAACGCUGGCGGCGUGCCUAAUACAUGCAAGUCGAGCGAACAGAUGAGGAGCUUGCUCCUCUGACGUUAGCGGCGGACGGGUGAGUAACACGUGGAUAACCUACCUAUAAGACUGGGAUAACUUCGGGAAACCGGAGCUAAUACCGGAUAAUAUAUUGAACCGCAUGGUUCAAUAGUGAAAGACGGUUUUGCUGUCACUUAUAGAUGGAUCCGCGCCGCAUUAGCUAGUUGGUAAGGUAACGGCUUACCAAGGCAACGAUGCGUAGCCGACCUGAGAGGGUGAUCGGCCACACUGGAACUUAGACACGGUCCAGACUCCUACGGGAGGCAGCAGUAGGGAAGCUGCCGCAAUGGGCGAAAGCCUGACGGAGCAACGCCGCGUGAGUGAUGAAGGUCUUCGGAUCUUAGAACUCUGUUAUUAGGGAAGAACAAAUGUGUAAGUAACUAUGCACGUCUUGACGGUACCUAAUCAGAAAGCCACGGCUAACUACGUG
rnacentral:rRNA from 1 species